rnacentral:rRNA from 1 species
CUUUCCAUGCAAGUCGAACGGUAACAGGGAGCUUGCUCCGCUGACGAGUGGCGAACGGGUGAGUAAUGCAUCGGAACGUACCGUGUAAUGGGGGAUAACGUAGCGAAAGUUACGCUAAUACCGCAUACGCCCUGAGGGGGAAAGUGGGGGACCGCAAGGCCUCACGUUAUACGAGCGGCCGAUGUCGGAUUAGCUAGUUGGUGGGGUAAAGGCCUACCAAGGCGACGAUCCGUAGCGGGUCUGAGAGGAUGAUCCGCCACACUGGGACUGAGACACGGCCCAAACUCCUACGGGAGGCAGCAGUGGGGAAUUUUGGACAAUGGGGGCAACCCUGAUCCAGCCAUGCCGCGUGAGUGAAGAAGGCCUUCGGGUUGUAAAGCUCUUUCAGGUGGAAAAAAUCUCCUGGGUGAAUACCCCGGGAGGAUGACGGUACCAUCAGAAGAAGCACCGGCUAACUACGUGCCAGCAGCCGCGGUAAUACGUAGGGUGCGAGCGUUAAUCGGAAUUACUGGGCGUAAAGCGUGCGCAGGCGGUUGUGUAAGACAGAUGUGAAAUCCCCGGACUCAACCUGGGAACUGCGUUUGUGACUGCACGACUAGAGUACGGCAGAGGGAGGUGGAAUUCCGCGUGUAGCAGUGAAAUGCGUAGAGAUGCGGAGGAACACCGAUGGCGAAAGGCAGCCUCCUGGGCCAGUACUGACGCUCAUGCACGAAAGCGUGGGGAGCAAACAGGAUUAGAUACCCUGGUAGUCCACGCCCUAAACGAUGUCAACUAGUUGUUCGGUGAGGAGACUCAUUGAGUAACGCAGCUAACGCGUGAAGUUGACCGCUGGGGAGUACGGCCGCAGUAAAACUCAAAGGAUUGACGGGGACCCGCACAAGCGUGGAUGAUGUGAUUAAUUCGAUGCAAC